UCGAGAAUCUUCGGCAAUGGGCGCAAGCCUGACCGAGCGACGCCGCGUGUGGGAUGAAGGCCCUUGGGUUGUAAACCACUGUCAGAGGGGAUGAAGUGCAUGAGGGCAAUCUCUCAUGUUUGACAUAGCCUCAGAGGAAGCACGGGCUAAGUUCGUGCCAGCAGCCGCGGUAAUACGAACUGUGCGAACGUUAUUCGGAAUCACUGGGCUUACAGGGUGCGUAGGCGGCUUGUCAAGUAGGGUGUGAAAGCCCCCGGCUCAACCGGGGAAUUGCGCCCUAAACUGGCGAGCUGGAGUGAGAUAGGGGUGUGUGGAACUUCCGGUGGAGCGGUGAAAUGUGUUGAUAUCGGAAGGAACGCCGGUGGCGAAAGCGACACACUGGAUCUUGUCUGACGCUGAGGCACGAAAGCCAGGGGAGCGAACGG
rnacentral:rRNA from 1 species